rnacentral:sRNA from 1 species
GCCGGGUGCGUUGGUGCACACCUGUAGUCCCAGUAACUUGGGAGGCUGAGGCAGGAAGAUCGAAAGUUCAAAGCCAGCCUCAGCCAUUUAGCGAGGUCCUAAGCAACUCAACGAGACCCUGUCUCAA